rnacentral:tRNA from 3 species
GCCCUCGUCGUUCAAUGGAUAGGAUGCUAGCUUGCGGAGCUUGCGAUGUAGGUUCGAUUCCUACCGAGGGCACAA